UGGGGAAUAUUGCACAAUGGGGGAAACCCUGAUGCAGCGACGCCGCGUGGGUGAAGACGGCCUUCGGGUUGUAAAGCCCUGUCAUCGGGGACGAAAAUGACGGUACCCGAUGAGGAAGCCACGGCUAACUACGUGCCAGCAGCCGCGGUAAUACGUAGGUGGCAAGCGUUGUCCGGAAUUACUGGGUGUAAAGGGAGCGUAGGCGGGGGUUCAAGUUAGAUGUGAAAUACCGCAGCUUAACUGCGGGGCUGCAUCUAAAACUGAAUCUCUUGAGUGGGGUAGAGGCAGGCGGAAUUCCUAGUGUAGCGGUGAAAUGCGUAGAUAUUAGGAGGAACACCAGUGGCGAAGGCGGCCUGCUGGGCCUUAACUGACGCUGAGGCUCGAAAGCGUGGGGAGCAAACA
rnacentral:rRNA from 1 species